rnacentral:rRNA from 1 species
AAGAAGAGGAACCAUGAAUCUUAGUAAGUUAAUAACUCCUAUUAAUUUAUUUAUAUGGUGGCACAAAAUCGGAAGCCCCGACUGUUUACUAAAAACACAACUAUCUGCAAUUAUGAAAAUAAUAGUAUAGGUAGUGAGAUUUGCCCAAUGCCAUAUUCAUAAGUAAUAAUAAUGGGUAACUGUUUCUUUACAAAAAAUUGGUUAAUAGCGGUCUUAACUAUGAGGAUCCUAAGGUAGCAAAAUAAAUUGGCCAUUAAAUGUGGUCCAGUAUCAAUAAUUUAACGAUGGCUUCACUGUCUCUACAACUUGCUCAGUGAAAUUGAAUUACCCGUGCAGAUGCGGGUUACCUCAAAGAGGACGGGAAGACCCUAUGCAGCUUCU